rnacentral:rRNA from 1 species
GAUGAACGCUAGCGGCAGGCCUAAUACAUGCAAGUCGAACGGUCCACUUCGGUGGAUAGUGGCGCACGGGUGCGUAACACGUAUGCAACCUACCUUACAUUGGGGGAUAGCCUUUCGAAAGGGAGAUUAAUACCGCAUAAGACAGUAACAUGGCAUCAUGUAGCUGUUAAAGAUUUAUCGAUGUAAGCUGGGCAUGCGUCCAAUUAGUUAGUUGGUGAGGUAAUGGCUCACCAAGACGAUGACUGGUAGGGGAACUGAGAGGUCAAUCCCCCACACUGGCACUGAGAUACGGGCCAGACUCCUACGGGAGGCAGCAGUAGGGAAUAUUGGGCAAUGGACGCAAGUCUGACCCAGCCAUGCCGCGUGCAGGAAGAAGGCGUUCUGCGUUGUAAACUGCUUUUAUAUAGGAAGAAACGACCCUUGCGAGGGGCAUUGACGGUAUUAUAUGAAUAAGCACCGGCUAACUCCGUGCCAGCAGCCGCCGUAAUAC